rnacentral:tmRNA from 1 species
GUCGGGAAUCCUAACGGGCUGGCGUUUUGAGGAUCCGGCUCAGGGGAGCUUCGAGACGCGAGAUCCAAAGCCUGAGAUACACUCGUAGACGCCCCGCCCUCGCGAUCCUAGGACGCGGGUUCAAUUCCCGCCGCCUCCACCA